AAUAAAAAUAAUAAUAACAAUAAUAAUAAUAAUAAUAAUAGUAAUAAUAAUAAUAAUAAUAUUAAAUAAUAUUUAUAAUUAAUUUUUAAGAAAAAUCGUUUUUAUUAUUUUAAAAUAUAUAUUUUUUAUUAUGACAUAGUUUAACACAUAUCACAUUUUUAAAUAUAUAACUACCUUGUGUCACAAUCAUGUUAAUUAGUAAUUUUGAAAAACCAAGCUCAAUAUAAUCUUUUAUAAUUAUAUUUUCUUUAAAAAUUUUGAAAAGAAAAUUAUAUUAAAUAAUAUUUUGAAAAAUUACUACUAAAUAUUUUUUAAAAGAUCGUUUUUACUCUUAAAUAAUUUUUAAAAGUAGUUUGGGGAAUUGCCACUAAUACAACUUUCCUAAUACCACUUUUUAACUUUACACUUUUCAAUUUUACCAUUAAAAUUUUAAUUGGCAAAUUACUUUUAUACCCCCUAACUAAUAAAGCCUAAGACUAACUCUUCUCUCUUACAUCUCACGAUAAUUAAAUCUCAUCAUCUCACAAAUCGGCAACGGAUUCCGGCGGUGACGAGUUCUCCGGCGAGAUUGGACGACUCUGCAGAGUUGUCCGGCGAGAUCCGACGAAGCUACGAAGAGAUCCGACGAAGCUACGGUGAGAUCGUACGAAGCUGCGGCGAGAUCCGACGAAGCUACGACGAUCUCUCUCACGACGCUAAGAAACACUAACAAAGGUUAUGAUGAUUGAACCAACGACGCUCCAGUGACCAUAUCCAAUUACUCCGACCAAAUCUCGCUCCGGUGAACACGAUCGACAAACUUAAAGAUAGUUUGUAUUUUGAAGAUCGACGAGGUUGGUGAGCUGUUUGAAAAAGUAUGAGGGACUCAGAACAAGAACGUGGUUUGUGAGAUCAAAGAAUUGCAGAUUUAUAAAGCUUUAUAAAAGUUACAAAGUUGGCUUCUUAACACCAUCUUCUCUCUCAUCUUCUUCAGACAUCUCUUAUACUAAAACAAUCGUAUAUCUCUCCUAAGACUUGCAAAGUUGAAGAGGUUAGUUGGACAUCUAA